AUUGAACGCUGGCGGCAGGCUUAACACAUGCCAGUCGAGCGCGCGGCGGACGGGUGAGUAAUGUCUGGGAAACUGCCUGCUGGAGGGGGAUAACUACUGGAAACGGUAGCUACUACCGCAUACCAUCAGAUGUGCCCAGAUGGGAUUAGCUAGUAGGUGGGGUAAUGGCUCACAUAGGCGACGAGCCCUAGCUGGUCUGAGAGGAUGACCAGCCACACUGGAACUGAGAAACGGUCCAGACUCCUACGGGAGGCAGCAGUGGGGAAUAUUGCACAAGGUGCGCAAGCCUGAUGCAGCCAUGCCGCGUGUGUGAAGAAGGCCUUCGGGUUGUAAAGCACUUUCAGCGAGGAGGCGUUACUCGCAGAAGAAGCAACGGCUAACUCCGUGCCAGCAGCCGCGGUAAUUC
rnacentral:rRNA from 1 species